rnacentral:rRNA from 1 species
CUACGUGCCAGCAGCCGCGGUAAUACGUAGGGCGCGAGCGUUGUCCGGAAUUAUUGGGCGUAAAGAGCUUGUAGGCGGUUUGUCGCGUCUGCUGUGAAAGGCCGGGGCUUAACCCCGUGUAUUGCAGUGGGUACGGGCAGACUAGAGUGCAGUAGGGGAGACUGGAAUUCCUGGUGUAGCGGUGGAAUGCGCAGAUAUCAGGAGGAACACCGAUGGCGAAGGCAGGUCUCUGGGCUGUAACUGACGCUGAGAAGCGAAAGCAUGGGGAGCGAACAGGAUUAGAUACCCUGGUAGUCCAUGCCGUAAACGUUGGGCACUAGGUGUGGGGGACAUUCCACGUUUUCCGCGCCGUAGCUAACGCAUUAAGUGCCCCGCCUGGGGAGUACGGCCGCAAGGCUAAAACUCAAAGAAAUUGACGGGGGCCCGCACAAGCGGCGGAGCAUGUGGUUUAAUUCGAAGCAACGCGAAGAACCUUACCAGGUCUUGACAUCCCUCUGACCGCUCUAGAGAUAGAGCUUUC